AGCUAAUUAUGAUAAUAAAGUAGCUGAAAAAGUUGUUACUGAAAAACGUAACGCUGAAGCU
rnacentral:snoRNA from 1 species